rnacentral:rRNA from 1 species
UUUCCUUCGGGACUGAUUAUUUUGUGACUGAGUGGCGGACGGGUGAGUAACGCGUGGGUAACCUGCCUUGUACAGGGGGAUAACAGUUGGAAACGGCUGCUAAUACCGCAUAAGCGCACAGCAUCGCAUGAUGCAGUGUGAAAAACUCCGGUGGUAUAAGAUGGACCCGCGUUGGAUUAGCUAGUUGGUGAGGUAACGGCCCACCAAGGCGACGAUCCAUAGCCGGCCUGAGAGGGUGAACGGCCACACUGGAACUGAGACACGGUCCAGACUCC